GUGAAUAUAGAAAUUGUGUUAUGAAAAUUAGAAAAUUUAUACAUAGUGCUAGGAAAUUAAUGUACAUUAUUGCCCUGCUUUGUUUUAUUAGUGGAAUACUAGAAACUGUAAAAUGCCUACUAUUUAGAAUAAUUCUUUCAAUGCUACUUGGAAUAAUUUCUUUUAUUGCUACUAGCUAUAGUAUUGUUCAAUAAAUUAUAGAAAUGUGCAUAAAAUUGUUGAAUUAGCAAGAAAUUAUAGAAAAAUUGUAGUCAUUAUGUACAAUAUUGAUUAGUCAUUUAUUAUAACAAAUUGCAUAAUUAUUAGUCAAUUUUAUAGUUAUUUAGUCAUUCUUUUUUUGUUGUCAUUUACUAGCAAUUCAUAG
rnacentral:lncRNA from 1 species